AGGAGUGGGGCUCCCACUGACUCCACAGAGAGUGUGCAGCCCCAGCCCUCCUCCCUGCUGCAGCCGGGGUGAUGGCAGCAGCUGUUGCCAUCAACUGCAUUUGGAAAUAGAACCUUAAAAGAGACUUCUCCCUAAAGCCCUUUGGCUAUUCAGGAAGGCCCUGCGUGAAACUUGCCAAGGAUUCCAUAUGACAGAUAAAAAAUCUGGCAGUCAUGGUUGACUUCUCACUUUUCCUCUUCUUCAUAUCCUGUCAGCCCCACAUUUAACAUCUAUUCUGAAUCUGAAGUGACAAUCUUUCAUCAUUUCUACAUCUCAAUCCUAGACCAAACAACCGUGAGCUGUUUCAUGGAUUCCUGAAACCAUUAAAAUGGACCUGUUCUACUGUUGCUUUUAAGACUACAUGCCAAGAACUGCUAAAAUAUUUGCUUUAUAAUAUAGAUUAUAUCAAGCUCUACUAAAAGGUUCAAUGAUUUUUCUCUGUAUCUUACAAAAUAAAAUCUAAAGCCUUACUGUGA